rnacentral:rRNA from 1 species
UACGUAGGGGUGCGAGCGUUAAUCGGAAUUACUGGGCGUAAAGCGUGCGCAGGCGGUUAUUUAAGUCAGGUGUGAAAGCCCUGGGCUUAACCUAGGAAUUGCGCUUGAGACUGGAUAGCUUGGAGUGCGGCAGAGGGAGGUGGAAUUCCACGUGUAGCAGUGAAAUGCGUAGAGAUGUGGAGGAACACUGAUGGCGAAGGCAGCCUCCUGGGCCAGCACUGACGCUCAUGCACGAAAGCGUGGGGAGCAAACAGG